UCGCCAGGCUUGGCGGCUCUUUCUCUCCCAAGGCAGAGGAGAUCGUUGGGUUUCAAGGCCCCGCGGGCAUUUCUCGCCGGCCCUGCGGAGAGAGUUCUUCACUACCACAACCAAGGAGGGAUAUGAUAGGCGGCCAGUGGAUAUAACUCCUUUAGAACAAAGGAAAUUAACUUUUGAUACCCAUGCAUUGGUUCAGGACUUGGAAACUCAUGGAAAUAACAGUACAACAGCUAAUGGCUCAUUUGGAUGCUAUCAGGAAAGACAUGGUCAUCCUAGAGAAAAGUGAAUUUGCAAAUCUGAGAGCAGAGAAUGAGGUGAUACAAAUUUUAAUUUAUUACUUAUAAAAUAACUGAUCUCAUAAUAAGCAUCCUACUUAAGGAAUAAGUUAAUAAGACCAAGUAAUAAUUCCAUGUGGUUAGUAAACAAUAAGUUUUUAGAUUUAAAAACAUACUAUUUGUUUAACCAUACCUAAUCUUUUUCUAUAUAAAUCAUAGUGCUUUGCAUACUGAAGAGAAUAAGAGUUACAUUUUAUACAUAUAAAACCACAUAAAACAAAAUCUUUGAGCUAUAUAUAUAAAAUUUGUAUAUAAUGGUUUCAGAGCUGAGAGUAAUACGGCAUUUUCUAUUUUAUUUAAUCCUGUACUAAAUGUCUUUGUGACUUAAAAGUAUAUUUCUGUAAUUAAGUCAGAAUUUUAAGUUAUGUUAUCCACUAUAGCUUAUUUUUAAAUUUAGAAAAUCAGUUUUUAAAAGUAUAAUAUAAAAACAAAUGCAUUUUG
rnacentral:lncRNA from 1 species